GACAGGAUGGCCGAGUGGUUAAGGCGACAGUUUUGAAUUGAUCCAUACGGGAAACUUCAUACCCUGAUCACAUUCCAGCUGUUUCACUUUGUGAGCGUGAGUUCAAACCUCACUCCUGUCG
rfam:Puccinia sorghi strain RO10H11247 Scaffold_7569, whole genome shotgun sequence.